CCUACGGGAGGCAGCAGUGGGGAAUAUUGGACAAUGGGGGGAACCCUGAUCCAGCGACGCCGCGUGAGUGAAGAAGUAUUUCGGUAGGUAAAGCUCUAUCAUCAGGGAAGAAAGAAAUUACGGUACCUGACUAAGAAGCCCCGGCUAGAUACGUGCCAGCAGCCGCGGUAAUACGUAGGGGGCAAGCGUUAUCCGGAUUUACUGGGUGUAAAGGGAGCGUAGACGGCGAUGCAAGUCUGAAGUGAAAGGCGGGGGCCAAACCCCUGGACUGCUUUGGAAACUGGAUGGCUGGAGUGCAGGAGAGGUAAGUGGAAUUCCUAGUGUAGCGGUGAAAUGCGUAGAUAUUAGGAGGAACACCAGUGGCGAAGGCGGCUUACUGGACUGUAACUGACGUUGAGGCUCGAAAGCGUGGGGAGCAAACAGGAUUAGAUACCCCAGUAGUC
rnacentral:rRNA from 1 species